rnacentral:rRNA from 1 species
CCUACGGGGUGCAGCAGUGAGGAAUAUUGGUCAAUGGACGAGAGUCUGAACCAGCCAAGUAGCGUGAAGGAUGACUGCCCUAUGGGUUGUAAACUUCUUUUAUAUGGGAAUAAAAUGUUCCACGUGUGGGAUUUUGUAUGUACCAUAUGAAUAAGGAUCGGCUAACUCCGUGCCAGCAGCCGCGGUAAUACGGAGGAUCCGAGCGUUAUCCGGAUUUAUUGGGUUUAAAGGGAGCGUAGGUGGAUUGUUAAGUCAGUUGUGAAAGUUUGCGGCUCAACCGUAAAAUUGCAGUUGAAACUGGCAGUCUUGAGUACAGUAGAGGUGGGCGGAAGUCGUGGUGUAGCGGUGAAAUGAUUAGAUAUCACGAAGAACUCCGAUUGCGAAGGCAGUUCACUGGACUGCAACUGACACUGAGGCUCGAAAGUGUGGGUAUCAAACAGGAUUAGAUACCCCUGUAGUC